rnacentral:rRNA from 1 species
GAUGAACGCUGGCGGCGUGCCUAAUACAUGCAAGUCGAGCGAACGGACGAGAAGCUUGCUUCUCUGAUGUUAGCGGCGGACGGGUGAGUAACACGUGGAUAACCUACCUAUAAGACUGGGAUAACUUCGGGAAACCGGAGCUAAUACCGGAUAAUAUUUUGAACCGCAUGGUUCAAAAGUGAAAGACGGUCUUACUGUCACUUAUGGAUGGAUCCGCGCUGCAUUAGCUAGUUGGUAAGGUAACGGCUUACCAAGGCAACGAUGCAUAGCCGACCUGAGAGGGUGAUCGGCCACACUGGAACUGAGACACGGUCCAGACUCCUACGGGAGGCAGCAGUAGGGAAUCUUCCGCAAUGGGCGAAAGCCUGACGGAGCAACGCCGCGUGAGUGAUGAAGGUCUUCGGAUCGUAAAACUCUGUUAUUAGGGAAGAACAUAUGUGUAAGUAACUGUGCACAUCUUGACGGUACCUAAUCAGAAAGCCACGGCUAACUACGUGCCAGCAGCCGCGGUAAUACGUAGGUGGCAAGCGUUAUCCGGAAUUAUUGGGCGUAAAGCGCGCGUAGGCGGUUUUUUAAGUCUGAUGUGAAAGCCCACGGCUCAACCGUGGAGGGUCAUUGGAAACUGGAAAACUUGAGUGCAGAAGAGGAGAGUGGAAUUCCAUGUGUAGCGGUGAAAUGCGUAGAUAUAUGGAGGAACACCGGUGGCGAAAGCGGCUCUCUGGUCUGUCACUGACGCUGAGGCUCGAAAGCGUGGGGAGCGAACAGG